CUCUUUGCUGGCGACCGGCGCACGGGUGAGUAACACGUAUCCAACCUGCCCUUUACUCGGGGAUAGCCUUUCGAAAGAAAGAUUAAUACCCGAUAGCAUAAUGAUUCCGCAUGGUUUCAUUAUUAAAGGAUUCCGGUAAAGGAUGGGGAUGCGUUCCAUUAGGUUGUUGGUGAGGUAACGGCUCACCAAGCCUUCGAUGGAUAGGGGUUCUGAGAGGAAGGUCCCCCACAUUGGAACUGAGACACGGUCCAA
rnacentral:rRNA from 1 species